GAACAUAUUAAUUUUGUUUUAUCAAACCUAAUUUGAGACUUAUACUCUUAAAAUAAUAUAAAUUAUACUUCAAAAAUAGAAAACAGUUAAAGGGACAUAACUCAACUUUUAAAUGGAAUGGAACUUCUGAAGUAUGGUUUGAAUUUUCUGGCCAUACCAAAACAACAGACUAUGCAUUGGUUUUUGUGGAUGUUUGCCAGUAUCACAGACUGUUCCCUUAAAAAGAGUUGUGAUAUACAAAUGCCAUAUAAAUCUGAAAGGUGUUAAAAUUUUAAGUGUAAAUCAAAUUUGUUGUACUUGUCAAAAGUAAAAUCACAAAAAUACUGAAUUCAGAAAAAAAUCAAAUUGGAAAGUCCCUAAUCACAUGGCAAAAUCAAAUGAAAAAAACACAUCAAAAACAAAUGGACAAUAAUUUAAGGGCUGUAACUAUGUCCCCGUCCCCACCAAUGAAAAAGGGGGGAUGGAUAUAUUAGUUUCUGGAACAGCUCUAAGAGCUUAAACAAAAAUUAUUGAAAAAUUGAUGUCUGCAUAACCCAGUCAAGUAUAUUAACAAUGAGAAUGAGAAGGGAUUAGUAAUAGCAGCAGUCAAAUUAAGACCUGCAGUCAAUCAAAUACCAAAGAGAUAUAAUGAGAAUUUUCCUUUUAAUCCUUCAAAAUGUUUUUAAAGAGGCAGACAAUACCAGGCUUUUCCCAUUAAAAUAAAUAUUAAAUAAAUCAGAGGGUUAAGAAGGGAAGUUUUAUUUUUGGACAUAUGAAUUGUGAUAAUAAGGUUGGAUGAAAAUGUAACCACCCUCCCACAUUCAUUUUAAUAGAAUAGCCUUUAUCAACCAAAGAACAAACGUUUUACAGUACAGAAACUGACAAAUAUAUGAUACCGAAAGAGAGGUGCAAUCUGACACACUCAAAUUAAUUAUUUGUGAUUGGUUAAAUUAUCCUUAUAAUUUUGUAUUUAACUCCAUAGGUAAUAUGAACAUUUUGCAUGAUUGAUUUUUUUUGGGUUCUGAAACAGUGCCUCCUACGUUCCCUUUGCAUUUAAUAAUGGAACAGGCCUCAACUUUCUACUGUCAUGACUAUGUUGAAUGGUAUCAACAUCUUCACAACCCUGUAUCAAUAUAAAAUGAGUAUUCUUCUUUUUCGGAUAAUCGAUACUCUGAUAAUCAAUACACUAUAUAAAAUGUUAUAUACAUGCUGCUUUGGAAGACUAGAAGGUCUGAUUGUUAUGGAGAUUCACAUGUAAAUAACAUUAAUGUACAUCUAUCACAAAAGCUUUAAAGUCCAAUGUUUGUCUCAUUACACCUGUCAGCACAAAUUCUGCAUUGUGGAUUG
rnacentral:lncRNA from 1 species